UGGGGAAUAUUGGACAAUGGGCGCAAGCCUGAUCCAGCCAUGCCGCGUGAGUGAUGAAGGCCCUAGGGUUGUAAAGCUCUUUCACCGGUGAAGAUAAUGACGGUAACCGGAGAAGAAGCCCCGGCUAACUUCGUGCCAGCAGCCGCGGUAAUACGAAGGGGGCUAGCGUUGUUCGGAUUUACUGGACGUAAAGCGCACGUAGGCGGACUUUUAAGUCAGGGGUGAAAUCCCGGGGCUCAACCCCGGAACUGCCUUUGAUACUGGAAGUCUUGAGUAUGGUAGAGGUGAGUGGAAUUCCGAGUGUAGAGGUGAAAUUCGUAGAUAUUCGGAGGAACACCAGUGGCGAAGGCGGCUCACUGGACCAUUACUGACGCUGAGGUGCGAAAGCGUGGGGAGCAAACAGG
rnacentral:rRNA from 1 species